UAGGAUUCCCCUAGUAGCUGCGAGCGAACAGGGAAGAGCCCAGCACCGAAUCCCGCGGUCGAAACCGGCCGCCGGGAAAUGUGGUGUUAGGGAGGAUCCGUCAUCCGGAGACCGUGCGGCGCGUCCAAGUCCUUCUUGAACGGGGCCACAGCCCAUAGAGGGUGCCAGGCCCGUGGCGACCGCCGCCAGUUGCCGGAGGAUCUCUCCUCAGAGUCGGGUUGCUUGAGAGUGCAGCCCUAAGUGGGUGGUAAACUCCAUCUAAGGCUAAAUACGACCACGAGACCGAUAGCGAACAAGUACCGUGAGGGAAAGUUGAAAAGAACUUUGAAGAGAGAGUUCAAUAGUACGUGAAACCGUUCAGGGGUAAACCUGAGAAACCCGAAAGGUCGAAAGGGAAGAUUCAGCGCGACUCGGAGGCGGAGUCGGGCGGUCGCGCGACGGAGGGCGUCCGCGUCCUCCGCUCCUUCCGCCCGUUCGAACCGUCGCCGAACGCGUGCACUUCUUUCCGAGUAGGACGUCGCGAUCCGUUGGGUGCCGGUCUAAGGCCCGCGGUGGAGUCCGUCCGGACGGUUCGCGCCGUUCCGGACGAACCCGCGGUGUUUUCCCGACCGGCUCGCCCGACGGUAUACAGAUGGCGGGGGGCCGCUUCAAUCUUACGGUUAGCGUCCGACCCGUGGCAAGCGCGCCCGUCGCGUCGGCGAUCGGACCUGGUGCCGGUCCCGACCGCGGGUGGCUGUUCGCCGCGUGCGUUCUCGGACAGACCCCGGAACGCCGAUCUGCGACGCUGUAGCUUUGGGUACUUUCAGGGCCCGUCUUGAAACACGGACCAAGGAGUCUAGCAUGUGCGCGAGUCAUUGGGAUCGAUAUCAGACCCAAAGGCGCAAUGAAAGUGAAGGUACGCCUCGCGCGGACCGAGGGAGGAUGGGCGAUCGUUAUAAACGCGGUCGCCUCGCACUCCCGGGGCGUCUCGUUCUCAUCGCGAGAAGAGGCGCACCAAGAGCGUACACGCUGGGACCCGAAAGAUGGUGAACUAUGCCUGGUCAGGACGAAGUCAGGGGAAACCCUGAUGGAGGUCCGUAGCGAUUCUGACGUGCAAAUCGAUCGUCGGAACUGGGUAUAGGGGCGAAAGACUAAUCGAACCAUCUAGUAGCUGGUUCCCUCCGAAGUUUCCCUCAGGAUAGCUGGCGCUCGUAGCGUACGAGUUUCAUCCGGUAAAGCGAAUGAUUAGAGGCAUUGGGGUCGAAACGGCCUCAACCUAUUCUCAAACUUUAAAUGGGUGAGAUCUCCGGCUUGCUCGAACUCUUGAAGCCGCGAGACUCGAAUCAGAGUGCCAAGUGGGCCAUUUUUG
rnacentral:rRNA from 1 species